ACUAACGAGGAUUUCCCUAGUAACGGCGAGCGAACCGGAAAGAGCCCAGCUUGAAAAUCGUUUGGCGCGGCCACGCGAAUUGUAGUCUGGAGAAGCGUCCUCUGCAGCGGACCGGGCCCAAGUUCCCUGGAACGGGACGUCAGAGAGGGUGAGAGCCCCGUCGAGCUCGGACCCUGCUGCUCCACGAGGCGCUGUCGACGAGUCGGGCUGUUUGGGAAUGCAGCCCUAAGCGGGUGGUAAAUUCCAUCCAAGGCUAAAUACGGGCGAGAGACCGAUAGCGAACAAGUACCGCGAGGGAAAGAUGAAAAGGACUUUGAAAAGAGAGUUAAAGAGUGCUUGAAAUUGCUGGGAGGGAAGCGAAUGGAGGCCGCGGGUGCGCCCCGGUUGGAUGCGGAACGGCGAUAGCUGGUCCGCCGCUCAACGCGGGGCGCCGGUCAGCGUGGGCCGGGCCGGCGGGACAAGAGCGGGCCUCAGCGGCUCGCCUAUGCCGUUGGCUCGGCCGAGGGACGAAGCGCGCGCCUUCGGGCGGCCCCUCGGGGACCUGCGCGCUCGGGACGCUGGCGUUUUGGGGCUUUCCAUCCGACCCGUCUUGAAACACGGACCAAGGAGUCUAACAUGUAUGCGAGCCGGUGGGCGGCAAACCCACGGAGGCGCAAGUAACCUGACAGGUGGGAUCCCCCCCGCGGGGAGCACCAUCGACCGACCGUGAUCUUCUGUGAAAGGUUUGAGUGCGAGCAUACCUGCUGGGACCCGAAAGAUGGUGAACUAUGCCUGAGCAGGGCGAAGCCAGAGGAAACUCUGGUGGAGGCUCGUAGCGAUACUGACGUGCAAAUCGUUCGUCAGACUUGGGUAUAGGGGCGAAAGACUAAUCGAACCAUCUAGUAGCUGGUUCCCUCCGAAGUUUCCCUCAGGAUAGCUGGAGCUCAGGAAGUUUUAUCGGGUAAAGCGAAUGAUUAGAGGCAUCGGGGGUGAAACACCCUCGACCUAUUCUCAAACUUUAAAUAGGUAAGCCGCCGGGGUUGCUCGGAUGAACCCCGGCAUGGAA
rnacentral:rRNA from 1 species